AUGCUUUCACAACUUGACUUCAAAAUAUUUGGUUUGGAGACCAUCAAAGAUCAAUAUGUGCAUGAUGCUGAUUUUAAAGAUGUAAUGCAGAAUUGUAAAGAAGGAAGAAUGUGGAACAAGUUUGUUGUUAACGAUGGAUUUGUGUUUCGUGCUAACAAGCUAUGCAUUCCAGCUAGCUCCGUUCGUCUUUUGUUGUUGCAGGAGGCGCAUGGAGGAGGAUUAAUGGGACACUUUGGCGUGAAGAAGACGGAGGACGUACUUGCUACACAUUUCUUUUGGCCAAAGAUUAGACGGGAUGUUGAGCGGGCUGUUUUGAAGAAUAAUAAGAAAAUGUGGGAGGAAUGCUUGCCUCAUAUUGAAUUUGCUUAUAAUCGUUCAUUGCAUUCUACUACUAAGAUGUGCCCUUUUGAAGUUGUGUAUGUUUUCCUACCUCGUGCACCUAUUGAUUUGUUGCCUCUUCCAUCUUCGGAGAAGGUUAAUUUUGAUGCUAAACAACGUGCUGAAUUGAUUUUAAAAAUGCAUGAGUUAACUAAGGAAAACAUUGAGCGUAUGAAUGCUAAAUAUAAACUUGCUGGAGAUAAGGGUAGAAAACAUGUUGUGUUUGCACCUGGAGAUCUUGUUUGGUUACAUUUGCGUAAGGAUAGAUUUCCUGAUUUGCACAAAUCAAAGUUAAUGCCACGUGCUGAUGGUCCCUUUAAGGUGUUAGAGAAAAUAAAUGAUAAUGCAUAUAAACUUGAGCUGCCUGCAGAUUUUGGGGUUAGUCCCACUUUUAACAUUGCAGAUUUGAAGCCUUAUUUGGGUGAGGAAGAUGAACUUCCGUCGAGGACGACUUCAUUUCAAGAAGGGGAGGAUGAUGAGGACAUCAAUACAAUUGUUACACGCACAGCCCCUGCUGCUAUACAUACUGGACUAAUUACUAGAGCUCGUGCACGCCAACUAAAUUACCAGGAAACAGACCCUCGUGGUCAGGUUGAUCGUGCUCCGGCGUGGUCAAUAACCUCUCGGAGUUGGUUUAGCGAUUGCUAA
rnacentral:rRNA from 1 species